UACGGGAGGCAGCAGUGGGGAAUAUUGCACAAUGGGCGCAAGCCUGAUGCAGCCAUGCCGCGUGUAUGAAGAAGGCCUUCGGGUUGUAAAGUACUUUCAGCGGGGAGGAAGGCGAUGUGGUUAAUAACCGCGUCGAUUGACGUUACCCGCAGAAGAAGCACCGGCUAACUCCGUGCCAGCAGCCGCGGUAAUACGGAGGGUGCAAGCGUUAAUCGGAAUUACUGGGCGUAAAGCGCACGCAGGCGGUCUGUUAAGUCAGAUGUGAAAUCCCCGGGCUUAACCUGGGAACUGCAUUUUGAACUGGCAGGCUUGAGUCUCGUAGAGGGGGUAGAAUUCCAGGUGUAGCGGUGAAAUGCGUAGAGAUCUGGAGGAAUACCGGUGGCGAAGGCGGCCCCUGGGACGAAGACUGACGCUCAGGGUGCGAAAGCGUGGGGAGCGAAACAGGAUUAGGAUACC
rnacentral:rRNA from 1 species